GCUGUAGUCACUUUUCUUGCAACAAUGAGAUGUCACAAUACCUGAGGAAAAUCUUGGGAGCAUUGUGAUGUAGCAUUAUACCACUACAUAAAGGUUCGCUAAACCCUCAAUGGUUGACCUGAAAUAUGAGAAAAUAACAAAGUGCCCAGGCAGCGAUCAUUUCAUUAAGGGAAAGAUGACUUCAGAGAGGAAGGAAAGAGAAAGUUAAUAAUCCUGAAGUAUGAGGCAAAGAUGAG
rnacentral:lncRNA from 1 species